rnacentral:rRNA from 1 species
UACGUAGGGGGCUAGCGUUGUCCGGAUUUAUUGGGCGUAAAGAGCGCGUAGGCGGCCGAGUAAGUCCGACGUGAAAUCUGGAGGCUCAACCUCCAGCGGUCGUUGGAAACUACUCGGCUAGAGUCCGGAAGAGGAGAGUGGAAUUCCUGGUGUAGCGGUGAAAUGCGCAGAUAUCAGGAAGAACACCGAUGGCGAAAGCAGCUCUCUGGGACGGUACUGACGCUGAGGCGCGAAAGCGUGGGAGCGAACAGG